AACGAACGCUGGCGGCAUGCCUAACACAUGCAAGUCGAACGAGACCUUCGGGUCUAGUGGCGCACGGGUGCGUAACGCGUGGGAACCUGCCCUUAGGUUCGGAAUAACUCCCCGAAGGGGGUGCUAAUACCGGAUAAUGUCUUCGGACCAAAGAUUUAUCGCCUUUGGAUGGGCCCGCGUUGGAUUAGCUAGUUGGUAGGGUAAAAGCCUACCAAGGCGACGAUCCAUAGCUGGUCUGAGAGGAUGAUCAGCCACACUGGGACUGAGACACGGCCCAGACUCCUACGGGAGGCAGCAGUGGGGAAUAUUGGACGAUGGGCGAAAGCCUGAUCCAGCAAUGCCGCGUGAGUGAUGAAGGCCUUAGGGUUGUAAAGCUCUUUUACCCGGGAUGAUAAUGACAGUACCGGGAGAAUAAGCUCCGGCUAACUCCGUG
rnacentral:rRNA from 1 species